GGUCAAGCAAUUAAGCGUACGUGGUGGAUGCCUUGGCAGCUAGAGGCGAUGAAGGACGUGGUAGGCCACGAAAGGCUUCGGGGAGCAGUCAAACAUGCUUUGAUCCGGAGGUAUCCGAAUGGGGAAACCCACCCAGUUUACUGGGUACCUUGCACUGAAUACAUAGGUGUAAGGGGCGAACGCGGAGAACUGAAACAUCUAAGUACCCGCAGGAAAAGAAAUCAACCGAGAUUCCCAAAGUAGCGGCGAGCGAAAUGGGAUUAGCCCUUAAGUUACAGUGGAUUUAGCAGAACGCUCUGGAAAGUGCGGCAAUAGAGGGUGAUAGCCCCGUAUGCGAAAGGUCCAUUGUAGUGAAAUCGAGUAGGUCGGGACACGUGAAAUCCUGACUGAACAUGGGGGGACCAUCCUCCAAGGCUAAAUACUCCUAGCUGACCGAUAGUGAACUAGUACCGUGAGGGAAAGGCGAAAAGAACCCCGGUGAGGGGAGUGAAAUAGAUCCUGAAACCGCGUACGUACAAGCAGUAGGAGCCUCUUUUAUGGGGUGACUGCGUACCUUUUGUAUAAUGGGUCAGCGAGUUAUUGUCAGUAGCAAGGUUAACCGUUUAGGGGAGCCGUAGGGAAACCGAGUCUUAAUAGGGCGUUUUAGUUGCUGGUAAUAGACCCGAAACCGGGCGAUCUAGCCAUGGCCAGGUUGAAGGUGCCGUAACAGGCACUGGAGGACCGAACCCACCUAUGUUGAAAAAUGGGGGGAUGAGCUGUGGCUCGGAGUGAAAGGCUAAUCAAGCCCGGAGAUAGCUGGUUCUCCUCGAAAACUAUUUAGGUAGUGCCUCGCGUUUGACUGCUGGGGGUAGAGCACUGUGUCGGCUAGGGGGUCAUCCCGACUUACCAACCCGAUGCAAACUCCGAAUACCAGUAAGUAUUAUCGCGGGAGACAGACAGCGGGUGCUAACGUCCGUUGUCGAGAGGGCAACAACCCAGACCACCAGCUAAGGUCCCUAAUAUCAGUUAAGUGGGAAACGAUGUGGGAAGGCUUAGACAGCUAGGAGGUUGGCUUAGAAGCAGCCAUCCUUUAAAGAAAGCGUAAUAGCUCACUAGUCGAGUCGGCCUGCGCGGAAGAUAUAACGGGGCUAAACUGAUAACCGAAGCUGUGGAUGCGCAUUUAUGCGCAUGGUAGAGGAGCGUUCUGUAAGCCGUUGAAGGUGAAUCGUAAGGUUUGCUGGAGGUAUCAGAAGUGCGAAUGCUGACAUGAGUAACGAUAAGGGGGGUGAAAAACCCCCCCGCCGAAAGAUCAAGGUUUCCUGUCCAACGUUAAUCGGGACAGGGUGAGUCGGCACCUAAGGCGAGGGCGAAGGCCGUAGUCGAUGGAAAAUCGGUUAAAAUUCCGAUACCGAUUCUUACUGCGAUGGAGGGACGGAGCAGGCUAGGCUAGCACGGCGUUGGUAGUCCGUGUUUAAGCGUGUAGGUAGGGGGAUUAGGUAAAUCCGGUUCCUCGUUAAUCUGAGACGUGAUGACGAUCUCUUGGGGCGACCCUUGAGAGAAGUAGUUGAUGCCAUACUUCCAGGAAAAUCUUCUAAGCUUCAGGUAAGAAUUGACCGUACUGUAAACCGACACAGGUGAUCAGGUAGAGAAUACCAAGGCGCUUGAGAGAACUUGGGUGAAGGAACUAGGCAAAAUGGUACCGUAACUUCGGGAGAAGGUACGCUCUCUUUGGUGAUCGGACUUGCUCCGUAAGCUGAGGAGAGUCGAAGUGACCAGGUGGCUGCAACUGUUUAUUAAAAACAUAGCACUCUGCAAACUCGUGAGAGGAAGUAUAGGGUGUGACGCCUGCCCGGUGCCGGAAGGUUAAUUGAUGGGGUUAUCUUCGGAGAAGCUCUUGAUCGAAGCCCCGGUAAACGGCGGCCGUAACUAUAACGGUCCUAAGGUAGCGAAAUUCCUUGUCGGGUAAGUUCCGACCUGCACGAAUGGCGUAAUGAUGGCCACGCUGUCUCCACCCAAGACUCAGUGAAAUUGAAAUCGCUGUUAAGAUGCAGUGUACCCGCGGCUAGACGGAAAGACCCCGUGAACCUUUACUAUAGCUUCACACUGGACUUUGACCUUACUUGUGUAGGAUAGGUGGGAGACUUUGAAGCGUGAUCGCUAGAUUGCGUGGAGUCAUCCUUGAAAUACCACCCUGGUAAUGUUGAGGUUCUAACUUGGCUCCUGAAACGGGAGUGAGGACAGUGUGUGGUGGGUAGUUUGACUGGGGCGGUCUCCUCCUAAAGAGUAACGGAGGAGCACGAAGGUACCCUAAGAGCGGUCGGAAAUCGCUCGUUUAGUGUAAUGGCAUAAGGGUGCUUGACUGCGAGAGUGACAACUCGAGCAGGUGCGAAAGCAGGUCAUAGUGAUCCGGUGGUUCUGAAUGGAAGGGCCAUCGCUCAACGGAUAAAAGGUACUCCGGGGAUAACAGGCUGAUACCGCCCAAGCUUCGAUCAAGAGUUCACAUCGACGGCGGUGUUUGGCACCUCGAUGUCGGCUCAUCACAUCCUGGGGCUGAAGCCGGUCCCAAGGGUAUGGCUGUUCGCCAUUUAAAGUGGUACGCGAGCUGGGUUUAGAACGUCGUGAGACAGUUCGGUCCCUAUCUGCCGUGGGCGCAGGAGAUUUGAGAAGAGUUGCUCCUAGUACGAGAGGACCGGAGUGAACGAACCUCUGGUGUUCGGGUUGUGUCGCCAGACGCAUUGCCCGGUAGCUACGUUCGGACAGGAUAACCGCUGAAAGCAUCUAAGCGGGAAGCCCCCUUCAAGACGAGAUCUCCCUGAGGACUUGAUCCUCCUAAAGUGCCGUUGAAGACGACGACGUUGAUAGGCUGGGUGUGUAAGUACAGUGAUGUAUUGAGCUAACCAGUACUAAUUGCACGUGAGGCUUGACCAU
rnacentral:rRNA from 1 species